rnacentral:rRNA from 1 species
GACGAACGCUGGCGGCGUGCCUAAUACAUGCGAGUCGAACGAAGCUGUUUCAACUGGUGCUUGCACCGACUUAAACAACUGAGUGGCGAACGGGUGAGUAACACGUGGGUAACCUGCCCCAAAGCGGGGGAUAACAUUUGGAAACAGAUGCUAAUACCGCAUAAUCACAGAAACCACAUGGUUUCUGUGUCAAAGAUGGUUUCGGCUAUCACUUUGGGAUGGACCCGCGGCGUAUUAGCUAGUUGGUAAGGGAAUGGCUUACCAAGGCAAUGAUACGUAGCCGAACUGAGAGGUUGAUCGGCCACAUUGGGACUGAGACACGGCCCAAACUCCUACGGGAGGCAGCAGUAGGGAAUCUUCCACAAUGGACGAAAGUCUGAUGGAGCAACGCCGCGUGAGUGAAGAAGGUUUUCGGAUCGUAAAACUCUGUUGUCAGAGAAGAACGUGUGCGAGAGUAACUGUUCGUGCAGUGACGGUAUCUGGCCAGAAAGCCACGGCUAACUACGUGCCAGCAGCCGCCGUA